GGGCCUGCACCUCAGAGGAUUAGAGCACGUGGCUACGAACCACGAUGUCGGGGGUUCGAAUCCCUCCUCGCCCA
rnacentral:tRNA from 1 species